AUUGAACGCUGGCGGCAUGCUUUACACAUGCAAGUCGAACGGUAACAGGUUAAGCUGACGAGUGGCGAACGGGUGAGUAAUGCAUCGGAACGUGCCCGAUCGUGGGGGAUAACGCAGCGAAAGCUGCGCUAAUACCGCAUACGAUCUGAGGAUGAAAGCGGGGGACCGUAAGGCCUCGCGCGAUCGGAGCGGCCGAUGUCAGAUUAGGUAGUUGGUGGGGUAAAGGCUCACCAAGCCGACGAUCUGUAGCUGGUCUGAGAGGACGACCAGCCACACUGGGACUGAGACACGGCCCAGACUCCUACGGGAGGCAGCAGUGGGGAAUUUUGGACAAUGGGCGCAAGCCUGAUCCAGCAAUGCCGCGUGCAGGAAGAAGGCCUUUGGGUUGUAAACUGCUUUUGUACGGAGCGAAAAGGCUCUCUCUAAUACAGGGGGCUCAUGACGGUACCGUAAGAAUAAGCACCGGCUAACUACGUG
rnacentral:rRNA from 1 species